AUUUUAAUUAUACUAAUUAAAAUAAGUAAAUUUAAAAAAAUGGGAAAACUUGGCAUGUUUUUAUUUUCUUUCCAUAAAAAGUACUUACCUCAGAAUAUGGGCUACUUAUUUUUAAAAUUUGAAACAAUUACUUUCACUCAAAGAUGUGUGUAAUUUUUUAAAAACAUAGGAAAUCCCUGAGGUUUCAUUUUUCCUGUUCAGAAGUGAUUUGUAAGAGAGUACAGAUUAUCCUGCCUGAUGCCAUGGCGUCUAUUUUUAUCCAUGUGGGCAUGCUGAGAGUGAACUGGGAGGACAUAUUUACUGUUGCUUAGAGUACCUGGUGACGCUGCCUCUCUUUAGAGCUCACUAGAGAGAAGCCGUGUAGCAGCAACAUGUGUUUGUAAUUCACUCGACCAGCUCAUUAGGACAAAACGGGGAGGAAGACUCCACCACGUGGGAUAGAUAAAGUGGAGCGUGUUCAGAGGAAAGCCCUGGAGACACCAGGGAAUGAGGAAGGGCUAUAGAAGCUGGGCUUUAAGAUUUUCAUAGAAGAAACUGAGCCCGUAAAUGCCUGAAGGGCUGGGAUGGAGGGAGAGGGCAUGAAAGAAAGCAGAGCCCCGGCCAAGGGUGCGAAAGUCCUCCCACUGAGGAUCGGGAAGGACUUUCCAGUAGUGAAAUCCUGCCAGCUAGUGUCCUCAAAAGUAAAGAGUUUUCUCAUCAAGAGAAAUUUUCCAGGCUGGGGCUGUCUUACGGGCCUGUCACAGAGUAUCUUGGCUGAGGGCUGGUCUGGACUAGAUUAAGUCCAAGUCCCCUUCUUGCUGACUCGAGAGCAGAUCCAGUGCUCACAGAUCCACUCAGAGAGCCCAGUGAGGGAAGGGUUCCCAGGUGGAGGCUGUGGGCAAGUGAGAAAGGGGCUCAUUCUUCAGUUCCAGCUGAUUGCUUGGGAAUGUGAGCCCCAUUAGGCCAGAUCUUCAGGUUUUUCAGGAAAAGACAGACGUCUAGAUAUUUUAGAUGGACUCUCCUAAGUUUUAAAUAUCGUGUGAGCCAAAUAAAGCUAUCUGUGCCUGCUGGGUCUGGGCCAUGCCUUGUCAGUGUGACCCCUCUGUUCCAGGAUUCUCAGAGUUACAUGAAGUUCAGUCUUUGGGGGACAGGUGGGUGUGAAUUGAAUGAGGAGAAUAGGGUAAGAGCUUAAGGGGCUUCCAGAGAGACCUAGGGCAGGGUAGUAAAGUUGAGGACUAGAAUUGGGUGAGGCAGGGUGAAUGGGCACAGUGAGGAGUGCAGUUUCCUGUCUUGCCUAUUCUGACGUUUCACUUUUAAGCUUUUCUUUUAAAAUAACAUUUGAUGAAGGGAGUACUGGGAAGGUGACUACUUCCUGAGGGUAGAGCUGGAGCAGGGAAUCCAGCCUCCCAGUGGCCCUUUCCUUCUCCAUCCUGCAUUCUCCACCAGCACCACACGCUUUAAGUUGACGCUUGAUGAAAGUCAGAAAAUAGAGGAAACAGGCCCUGAGGGAAAUGAUCUAAUGCAAAGAAUUUUGUGGAAAAGUGGGACAGUUCCCGAAGGAAUGAAUUCGUGGAAGGACACAGAACCCGGAGACGUGUCCUUAGACAGCUGGCGGUGGCCCUGGGCCGCGAUCCCCUCACAGCCCAGCACAGGCCUGCUUCUCUCCCCAUGUUCAUCAGAAAUGUCCCCGACCAGCCGCACAUAAACCAGAUGAGCGUGAAAUGGGAGCCUCUUGAUCUUCAUGAGCCUGCGUAGUCCCCCCGCAUGUCACAGGCCACCGCCGCAGCUGUGCACACUGCUUAGGGCAGCACAGAUGGGCUGAAUCUGAUGCCACAGUGACACCUGUCCUUGGGCUGCGCUCUUCACGAAACUGCCGCCUGAAGACGGGAACACUGACUUGAACUGCGACUCAAGGGGGGACCUUUGUGGGUGGCUUCCCCAGCCCUGGGGAGUGUGUGCGUGUGCACGUGUGGUUGACUGAGGGUGGCAGUGAGAAUGGGAGGAACAAAUGGCUUUCCAGAUGCUCUCUCGUGGCUGAGCCCCUGCGUCUCAAUUCUGAGACCCUGAGCAGGUUAUCUCAUCUCUCUGAGCCUGUCUCUGCCUCCAUAAGGGGACGUGAGAGGAGGCAUGUCAGCACUUGACUGGAUCCAUUUUAUCUCAGGGGUUUCGUUAACACGAUUUGUACAGUGCCUUCAAGUUUUCAAGGAGCUUUUCACAUAUGUGAUCUCACCAGAUUUUCCUAACAGCCAGAGGGUCAUAUGGCCUCAUUUUAUUGAUCAAGGCAUGGAGGCUACAGAGUCAGGCCUGGAAGUUCACAGAUGCAUGGAAAAAGGGAUCCUUUGUAUUCUCCAAAAGUUUGUCCUUCUGUCUGUUGUGCUGACGACAGGGCCCCAUAGUCUGACAUUUACGUUGUCCCAGGCCUCCUUGAGUGCAGUGACGUUCAGGAACCCCCACUGUGCUCCAUCCUGGGUCAGCUCUGGCUGGGAGGAGGGCUGGCAGGGUUACCUGGAUCCCAAGCUCUAAAGCUAGACCCCACGUGUUCACAGCUCCAGUCUCUCACUCACCAGCUUGCUGCGCUGAGGCAAAUGGCUUAACCUCUUGGAACCUGAAUUAUCAUACAUGUAAAAUAAGGACCACCAAAGACUUACCACACGAAGCUAUUGCGAGAAUUCAAUGAAAUGAUCCACACAAGAUGCUUAGCCCAGUACCUGACCCAGUACAUCUUCGCUGUCAUCAUUGCUAUUAUUAUAAUCAUUAGCACUUUCACACUAAGCAUCACCAUCUUCAGAUGAGCUACUUGCCAUAUUUUGGCUGUUAUAAAUUAAGCACAUUUUUAAUAAACUUGAUUUUAGGCUUAAAGUGG